GGCUACGCACUAGAAUCCCAAGAAAAGUGCCUCGUCAUCUCCAUGCGAGAAACGACAAUAGUCUGGCGAGUACAACCCAAUAUUCGGCCUUCCUUGUCGUAUUAUUCGUAUCACUUCCGUUUCGUAUGAGCGCAGAAGCAAAUGCAUGUUUGUCUGUCCUUGGAGCCACGAGAUGAAGCCACGCCACCCCCCUAAGGACGAUGUAAUCAAUCUCGGCCGUCAUUCGCCCUUUCCUCUUCUGGAAUGGGUCAAAGUCCCAAAAAAAGUGUUUUUUUUUUAAUUUUUGAAGGAAGAAUUCGAAAUUGAUCCGAAUCCGAAUCGGCCCUACCUUUCAAAAAUCGUGCCUAAUUCUCCAGCUAUAAAUAUUCUCUUUCUCCUUCAAUGUUGGGAGGGAAAUCUUUUUUAGAAAAUCUGUGGAGAGAGUUUGAUAUUGAAAAUUUAUUUUAGAGCAAAACAUUUAGACGACAUAAGAAAAAUCUAGCUAAAGAUAUAGUGAGAGAGAGCUUGCAUUAAGGUGGGAGCAAGUUUUCUGUUGGAGAUUUUUUUUUUACGAAGAACUGGUGAAAAAAGGAUAGAGAUUUUUGGUUGGCUUUUCUUUUUGGUUGGAGAAAGAUAUGAGAAGAAACUAGCAAAAAAUACAAAAAGGGAAAAUUGAAGUUCACAAGUAUAGACAAUGAAAAAUCAAAGUAGAAUUUAGAACUAUAGUGUUAUGCUUGCGAGUAAACUGUUCUCGUCGUAGAUUUGUCAUUGGUGGUGGAAUAGUUCACUUCUAAGCUCGUCGUUGUCCAGUUUGUUGUCGUUUAAAAGUUCGAUCGAAGUCUCAUUUGGCUUUGCAUUUCGAAAUGGGCCAUAAAGGCCCCAAAUCCCCUGUUUCCCUCGAAUUCAGCUAAUCAUAGAAGUCGAAGAGCAGGUCCUAUGGAGUUGACGCACAUGUGUCGGAGUUGAAAAAUGCAUACAUGGAGGAGAGUUUUGAAAUGAUUGGCCAAAGACCUGCUCUUAGUUCCAAGAAAUUGUAUUUUGUUUAGUUGGUCCUAAGCCCCUUAUUAUUUUGUAUUAUUAUCUUGUUAGUUUAGGACAUAUACAAUUGAAGUGGGUCAAACGCUCAAAACAAAAUGGGUCCAAAUACCGGUCUAGGCGGAUAGAAAUCGAAUUUGGACCCAACUCUCUCUCUCUUUUUCUUUUACUUUAUCGCGUUUAUUUACUUGUUAUUAAUUGCCGUUAGUUUUAGGGUUAAAAAAUUCAAAUCCCCACAAGACUUUGUAAUGUUUUAACUAUUCAAACUAA